UUAUUUUAUACUAAUUUAUGUUUAUGUAAUAUUUUAUUCAACAUACCAUUUUUAUUUUGAAUUAAAACUACUAAUCAUAUUUCUUAAACUAUGAUUAACAAAUGAGAAAGAAGAGUAAUUUGAAAUAAAUGUUUUGGGAGUAUUUUAAAAUAUAUGUAUAACUAAAAACGUAGUCUUCUGUAGAAAUGAUGACAUAUUAACAUUGUUGGAAGAUCUUGAGCAGUAACACAUUGAUAACAUUUUGGGAGUUUGGUCUGUGUAGGCAAUUUGUAGAAAGCAGAUGCUAUCUAUAUGGUAUGCUUUGAAGUUACUAUUUUGAUUUUCUGUAUAUAAUGCACCCAAUUUCAAAAUGAUAUAUGCCACAAAAAUUGAGAGGGAGAAAACUAAUAAAAUGUCAUUUUGCUAAGUUUUUACUUAGCAAAAAAAUAAAAUACUACCAGAGGUACAUUUUAAAGGUGCACUUACAUCACAGUCAAGAACUUAUGUUUUAAGUAUGUUAGGUCGGAGAAACAUCAGAGAUAGUGAAAUAUAGUACUUGGCAUUUAGAAAGUAAUAUACUGUCACGUGUUGCUUAUGAUGCUUGCUUAGGUAAUUAUGUCGUGCAAACAUCACAGUGUGUACUUACACAACUCUAGAAGGUAUACACUAUUACACACCUAGGCUUAUAUGGUACACCCUACUGCUUCUAGGCUACAAACCUAUACAGCAUGCUACUGCAAAGAAUACUGUAGGCAACUGUAAAAUAAUGGUACUUGUGUAUCUAAAUACAUCUCAACACAGAAAAGGUACAGUAAAAAUAUAGUAUGAUAAUCUUAUGAGACCACCAUCGUUUAUGCGGUCAUUGACCAAAAUGCUAUUACGUGAUGCAUGACUGUAAAUAUUUUCUUUUCCUUCACUCUUCUGGCCAUUUUAAGCCAAAUAUUGGGAAGUUCAAAACAUUAUUUCAAGUAGGCAAGAUGUUAUUGUACGUCAAAAUGAUUAAUUAAGGACACAGUUCCUUACAUUAUAAAGUAACAAAACUACAAGGCCAAAUAACUAAACAAAACUAUAUUUUCAUUUCACUAAACAUAAAAUAGGUCUGGCUCUGAGGUAUACUUUAGAAAAAAAGUACCAAGUACACUAAAACUUUUUUAUUAUCCAACAUAUUCCUUUUUUAAAAAAAUUCAGGCCGGGCACGGUGGUUCACACCUGUAAUCCUAGCACUUUGGGUGGCUGAGGCGGGUGGAUCAUAAGGUCAAGAGAUCAAGACCCUCCUGGCCAACAUGGUGAAACCCCGUCUCUACUAAAAAUACAAAAAUUAGCUGGGUGUGGUGGCACAUGCCUGUAGUCCCAGCUACUCGGGAGGCAGAGGCAGGAGAAUCGCUUGAACCCAGGAGUCAGAGGCAGGAGAAUCGCUUGAACCCAGG
rnacentral:lncRNA from 1 species